UGUGGGGUCCAUUCCACGGAUUCCGUGACGCAGCUAACGCAUUAAGUUCCCCGCCUGGGGAGUACGGCCGCAAGGCUAAAACUCAAAGGAAUUGACGGGGACCCGCACAAGCGGCGGAGCAUGCGGAUUAAUUCGAUGCAACGCGAAGAACCUUACCAAGGCUUGACAUAUACGAGAACGCUGCAGAAAUGUAGAACUCUUUGGACACUCGUAAACAGGUGGUGCAUGGUUGUCGUCAGCUCGUGUCGUGAGAUGUUGGGUUAAGUCCCGCAACGAGCGCAACCCUCGUUCUAUGUUGCCAGCACGUAAUGGUGGGAACUCAUGGGAUACUGCCGGGGUCAACUCGGAGGAAGGUGGGGAUGACGUCAAAUCAUCAUGCCCCUUAUGUCUUGGGCUUCACGCAUGCUACAAUGGCCGGUACAAAGGGCUGCAAUACCGUAAGGUGGAGCGAAUCCCAAAAAGCCGGUCCCAGUUCGGAUUGAGGUCUGCAACUCGACCUCAUGAAGUCGGAGUCGCUAGUAAUCGCAGAUCAGCAACGCUGCGGUGAAUACGUUCCCGGGUCUUGUACACACCGCCCGUCAAGUCAUGAAAGUCGGUAACACCUGAAGCCGGUGGCCCAACCCUUGUGGAGGGAGCCGUCGAAGGUGGGGCUG
rnacentral:rRNA from 1 species